rnacentral:rRNA from 1 species
GACGAACGCUGGCGGCGUGCUUAACACAUGCAAGUCGAACGGAAAGGCCCUGCUUUUGUUGGGUGCUCGAGUGGCGAACGGGUGAGUAACACGUGAGUAACCUGCCCUUGACUUUGGGAUAACUUCAGGAAACUGGGGCUAAUACCGGAUAGGAGCUCCUGCUGCAUGGUGGGGGUUGGAAAGUUUCGGCGGUUGGGGAUGGACUCGCGGCUUAUCAGCUUGUUGGUGGGGUAGUGGCUUACCAAGGCUUUGACGGGUAGCCGGCCUGAGAGGGUGACCGGCCACAUUGGGACUGGGAUACGGCCCAGACUCCUACGGGAGGCAGCAGUGGGGAAUAUUGCACAAUGGGCGGAAGCCUGAUGCAGCAACGCCGCGUGCGGGAUGACGGCCUUCGGGUUGUAAACCGCUUUCGCCUGUGACGAAGCGUGAGUGACGGUAAUGGGUAAAGAAGCACCGGCUAACUACGUG